rnacentral:rRNA from 1 species
UACGGAGGGUGCAAGCGUUAUCCGGAUUUACUGGGUUUAAAGGGUAGCGUAGGUGGGUCUGUAAGUCAGUGGUGAAAUCUCCGAGGCUUAACCUCGGAAACUGCCAUUGAUACUAUAGGUCUUGAAUUAUCUGGAGGUAAGCGGAAUAUGUCAUGUAGCGGUGAAAUGCUUAGAUAUGACAUAGAACACCAAUUGCGAAGGCAGCUCACUACGGAUAUAUUGACACUGAGGCACGAAAGCGUGGGGAUCAAACAGG